rnacentral:rRNA from 1 species
ACAUUAGCAUGGGAUAAUGGAAUAGGACCCUGUCCUCCUAUUUUCAGUUGGUUUUGGCAGCGCGAGGACUAGGGUAAUGAUUAAUAGGGAUAGUUGGGGGCAUUAAUAUUUAAUUGUCAGAGGUGAAAUUCUUGGAUUUAUGAAAGAUUAACUUCUGCGAAAGCAUCUGCCAAGGAUGUUUUCAUUAAUCAAGAACGAAAGUUAGGGGAUCGAAGACGAUCAGAUACCGUCGUAGUCUUAACCAUAAACGAUGCCGACCAGCGAUUAGGAGACGUUGAAUACAAAACACCACCAUCGGUGCGGUCGUCCUUGGCGCGUUGGUCUUCAAAAGCCAGCGCGCGGGGGCGGCUUAGCCCGGUGGCACCGGUGAAUGACUCCCUAGAC